rnacentral:rRNA from 1 species
UACGAAGGGGGCUAGCGUUGUUCGGAAUUACUUGGCGUAAAGCGCAUGUAGGCGGAUAUUUAAGUCAGGGGUGAAAUCCCGCAGCUCAACUGCGGAACUGCCUUUGAUACUGGGUAUCUUGAGUAUGGAAGAGGUGAGUGGAAUUCCGAGUGUAGAGGUGAAAUUCGUAGAUAUUCGGAGGAACACCAGUGGCGAAGGCGGCUCACUGGUCCAUUACUGACGCUGAGGUGCGAAAGCGUGGGGAGCAAACAGG